rnacentral:rRNA from 1 species
UAGGGAAUCUUCGGCAAUGGACGGAAGUCUGACCGAGCAACGCCGCGUGAGUGAAGAAGGUUUUCGGAUCGUAAAGCUCUGUUGUUAGAGAAGAACGUUGGUAGGAGUGGAAAAUCUACCAAGUGACGGUAACUAACCAGAAAGGGACGGCUAACUACGUGCCAGCAGCCGCGGUAAUACGUAGGUCCCGAGCGUUGUCCGGAUUUAUUGGGCGUAAAGCGAGCGCAGGCGGUUCUUUAAGUCUGAAGUUAAAGGCAGUGGCUUAACCAUUGUACGAUUUGGAAACUGGAGGACAUGAGUGCAGAAGGGGAGAGUGGAAUUCCAUGUGUAGCGGUGAAAGGCGUAGAUAUAUGGAGGAACACCGGUGGCGAAAGCGGCUCUCGGGUCUGUAACUGACGCUGAGGCUCGAAAGCGUGGGGAGAAAACAGG